rnacentral:rRNA from 1 species
UAACGCGUGAGGAACCUGCCUCAAAGAGGGGGACAACGGUUGGGAACGACUGCUAAUACCGCAUAAGCCCACGGCUCGGCAUCGAGCAGGGGGAAAAGGAGCAAUCCGCUUUGAGAUGGCCUCGCGUCCGAUUAGCUAGUUGGUGAGGUAACGGCCCACCAAGGCGACGAUCGGUAGCCGGACUGAGAGGUUGAACGGCCACAUUGGGACUGAGACACGGCCCAGACUCCUACGGGAGGCAGCAGUGGGGAAUAUUGCACAAUGGGGGAAACCCUGAUGCAGCGACGCCGCGUGGAGGAAGAAGGUCUUCGGAUUGUAAACUCCUGUUGUUGAGGAAGAUAAUGACGGUGCUCAACAAGGAAGUGACGGCUAACUACGUGCCAGCAGCCGCGGUAAAACGUAGGUCACAAGCGUUGUCCGGAAUUACUGGGUGUAAAGGGAGCGCAGGCGGGAGAACAAGUUGGAAGUGAAAUCCAUGGGCUCAACCCAUGAACUGCUUUCAAAACUGUUUUUCUUGAGUAGUGCAGAGGUAGGCGGAAUUCCCGGUGUAGCGGUGGAAUGCGUAGAUAUCGGGAGGAACACCAGUGGCGAAGGCGGCCUACUGGGCACCAACUGACGCUGAGGCUCGAAAGUGUGGGUAGCAAACAGGAUUAGAUACCCUGGUAGUCCACACCGUAAACGAUGAUUACUAGGUGU